GCAGGACGCACACACAGACACACACUCACAGUCGCAGUCAGCUCUGCGGCUGCUCUCGUUUGCUGUUUUUCCAAAAGAUGCUGCGUCUCAUUAUUUUCUGUUUCGUUUGGUUUCUCCAAACUUUUCUGAUCAGCUGCCACAAAAACUCUACAGAGUGGACAGCAGGAAUUGGUCCUUCCCCCAAGGUGAUCCGGCUCUCGGUCCCAGAGGACCACCAAGUCUGUCUGUGCUGUGGCAGCUCCGAUCCGGAUCAUGUCUUCUGGACUCGUCAGAACCGGCGGGUCCUGACGACCAGACGGGGGAGCUACGAGACCAACGAGGACCGGCAGCGCUACCUGCUGCUGUCGGACGGAGGCCUGUGCGUCCUGCAGCUGGAGGCCUCGGAUCAGGGCGGGUACUGCUGCAACGACCUGCUGGUGGCCGAGCUGCAGGUGCUGACAGGACGUGACUUCACAGUCGCUGCAGGCCGGACGCUGCUGCUUCCCUGCGGCCAGUCGCCCAAACCCAAGCAGAGGUGGUUUCACCGGAGGAACGGCGAGAGGCGGGAGCUCAUCCUGACCCGGUUCAGAAACGGCACAGUGAGCCCGGAGAGGGAGGGGGGUCGGCUCAGCUUCCGGAACGACGGCCUGCAGAUCCAGGACCUGCAGCCAGAGGACGCCGGGGAGUAUCACUGUAACGGAGAGCUGCAGGCCACCGUGUCGGUCCUCUCAGUGCAUCCAGAGCCGACCAGCGUCCAGACGUCCAGCAGUUCAUCUCCGACCUCCACAGACGUGGUCGAGGUCAAGAAGAAGGAGAAGAAGAAAAGUGAGAACGCUCUGCUGUUGGUUGCUGUUGUCGGUCUGGGGUUGAUGAUCCUCUUCAUGUUGUCCGUCUGUGUUUUACUGAGCAGCCUGAAGCUCUGCAGGAGGAACAAACACAGAUAUGAAGCAGCUCGGAGGCAGGAGGACACGGAGCUGCAGCCGUGGACGCCGUCCUACAGACCGGACGAGCCCAGAAAGACGCCGUCUCCACCGGAGGACAACAUCCACUACGCCUCUCUGGGACAUCAGAACUGGAGGGACAGACCCAGCAGGACUCCAGCAGAGCAAGACCAGCACCACGUGAUCUACUCUGUCAUCACCAGACCUGUAGCUCAGAAGACUCCAAACUGAAACACACUUCACUGUCUGUCUGUCUGUCUGUGUGUCAUAAAUAAAGAAAACACAACAAUAAACUUCUGGACAAUACGGAUUACUGCUGAUUUCUUAUUGGUGAUUUUUUUCUC
rnacentral:lncRNA from 1 species